GUUUAUUUCAAAGGACACUAUAUUGUGAUCACUAUUUCCCAAGUGCUCACCUACUUGAAUGUUGGUCAAAAGAUCAACGUUGUUUGUUAAAACCAGGUCCAGACAAGCGUCCAUUCUAGUUGGUGCUUGUACAAGAUGUGACAUGAAGGUGUAAUUUAACAAGUUUAAAAACCUAAUUCCCUUUGCUGAGGUACUAGUCCCUCUGUCCCAAUUUAUAUCCGGGUAAUUAAAAUCUCCAAUAAUUAAAGUGUUACCCAGAUUUGCAGCUUUCUCAAUUUGCUCAAACAGCUGUUGUUCCUCGUCAAUAUUAACAUUAG